GACCAAGGAUGGCGCAGUGGUGAUAGCGCUCGCCCCGGGCGCUCGCCUCCCACCAAUGUGCGUGGCCUGGGUUCAAAUCCCGGACCCAGCGUCA